UGCCCUUUAAAUACAGAAGUUGAACUGAUCUAUGCACAUCACAAGAGGGAGUGUUCGAGUUCAAGUUCAAGUUCAAGUUCACUUGCUUUGUGCUCAAAGACUUCAGAUGAAGGGCUGUGAAGCGGCUUCUCUCAUCGCUCUUGUCAAGCUGCACUUUCACAACAGAGGAUCCCCUCACUGGGCUCUGAGCCAACCCAUCUGCUGGUAAGACACCUGUUGCACAAGCUGACUGCUACGUAAGUUGAAAAUAAACUUUUAAAAAUGGGAAACGUACCAUCAGAAGCGAACAUGGGUGACAGCCUCAGGUGCUGCAACUGUAACAGAGUCUUGCCUCCAUGUCGGUCCUUCGAUAAUUUAAGACAAGAUGUCAUCCAUGGGCUGCAUGUGCACGUGUUCAAUGGAGGGGAAUACUACAGACAAGUUGGCUAUAAUAAUCUAUACCAGUGUCCAGAUUGCUUUUAUAAGCCAAUCAGAGAUGCAGAACGCAGGAGGGAAGAAGAAGAAA